rnacentral:rRNA from 1 species
UACAGAGGUGGCAAGCGUUGUUCGGAAUUACUGGGCGUAAAGGGCGCGUAGGCGGCCCGUCAAGUCCCGUGUGAAAGCCCCCGGCUCAACCGGGGAACGGCGCGGGAAACUAGCAGGCUUGAGUUCGGGAGAGGGAAGCGGAAUUCCGGGUGUAGCGGUGAAAUGCGCAGAUAUCCGGAGGAACACCGGUGGCGAAGGCGGCUUCCUGGACCGACACUGACGCUGAGGCGCGACAGCGUGGGGAGCAAACAGG